rnacentral:rRNA from 1 species
UCGAGAGGCUUCGGCAAUGGGGGAAACCCUGACCGAGCGACGCCGCGUGGAGGAUGAAGGCCCCUGGGUUGUAAACUCCUUUUGCUGGGGAAGAAACGCGAUCAGGUGAACAAUCUGGUCGUUUGACGGUACCCGGCGAAUAAGCUCCGGCUAACUCCGUGCCAGCAGCCGCGGUAACACGGGGGGAGCAAGCGUUGUUCGGAAUCACUGGGCGUAAAGGGCGUGUAGGCGGUCAGGUAAGUGGGAUGUGAAAUCCCUCGGCUCACCCGAGGACCUGCAUCCCAAACUGCUUGGCUUGAGUAUGGGAGAGGAUGAGGGAAUUCCUGGUGUAGCGGUGAAAUGCGUAGAUAUCAGGAGGAACACCGGUGGCGAAAGCGCUCAUCUGGCCCAAUACUGACGCUGAGGCGCGAAAGCUAGGGGAGCAA